rnacentral:rRNA from 1 species
UACGUAGGGUGCAAGCGUUAAUCGGAAUUACUGGGCGUAAAGCGUGCGCAGGCGGUUUUGCAAGUCAGAUGUGAAAUCCCCGGGCUCAACCUGGGAAUUGCAUUUGUGACUGCACGGCUAGAGUGUGUCAGAGGGGGGUAGAAUUCCACGUGUAGCAGUGAAAUGCGUAGAGAUGUGGAGGAAUACCGAUGGCGAAGGCAGCCCCCUGGGAUAACACUGACGCUCAUGCACGAAAGCGUGGGGAGCAAACAGG